rnacentral:lncRNA from 1 species
AAACAAAUCUCAGGUAACUUCACUGGAGGAUUCUUCCAAGUAUGUAAGCAAGUUCUAAUACUAAUUUAGCACACUCUCUUCCUGAGUAUAAAGAGUAUGAAACACAUCUUAAAUCACUAUUUGAAGCCAGCAUUACCCUGGUAUCAAAAUCAGACCAAAAAAUACCAAUUAACAAAGUUUCUCUAUCAUAAAAUUAUACAUAAAUAUCUUCAAGAAAAUAUUAGCAAAUUGAAUUCAGAGUGGUAUCAAAAUUAUACUCCAUGACUAAAUGGGAUUCAUUUUAGUUAUACAAGGUUGAUUUAAUAUUUGAAAAUUAACCAAAGUAAUCCACCAUAUCGAUAGGCCAAGAAAAUCACAUUAUCAUAUGAGCUAAUGCAGAAAGAGCAUCUGACAAAAUCUAACAUCAAUGUAUGAUAAAAGGCUAUCAGCACAUUAUAGAGGAUAUUUUUUAUCAACUUGAUAAGAUGGCCUAUUAAAAAAAAUAAUUCCAAUUAACAUUGACCUUAAUGAUGAAAGAUGGAAUGCCUACCUUCUAAUAUUGAGAACAAAGCAAGAAUAGCCAUUGUCUUCCUUCUUAAUCAACCUUGAUAUUCUAGCCACUAGAAUAAAAAGAACACUGAAAUAUCUAGUGGAUGUUUUAGCCAGCACAAUAAGGCAAGACAAAGAAAUUAAAGGCCUAUAUUGACAAGAAGGACGAAACUGUUUAUUUGCAGAGGACGUUGUUGUCUACAUAGAAAAUCUCAGAGAAUUUCCAAAUGUUUCUGAGACUACAAACCAUAUAACCUACAAAAGCUUUUUAUCUAAAAAAUGUAAAGAACUCUCAGGUUUGAACAGACUUCUUGUUCAGAAAGUUCACAGGACACAAGAGCAAAAUAGAAAAAUCUAACACAUUUCUAUACAAUUACAUGUACAAAUCAAAAUUAAAAAUAAUAGUAAUAUUAUUACUUUUAAUAAUAGUAUUUAGGAAAUAAUAGUAUUAAUUAUUUUCUACUAUUCAUAAAAAUCUUCUGCAUUAAUCUAACAAAACUUUACUGGACUUUUAAGCUGAGUAUUUUUUCUAAAUACUGAUAAAUAUUAAAAAAUAUUUAAAUAAAUGCUACUGUGCCUAUGGAAUGGAAAACUCAACAUACUAGAGAUGUAAAUUCUUCCCAAAUACAAGUAGUUUUAACACAGUUCUUACCAAAAUUCCAAUUUUUUGCAUAUAUAGACAGACUUAUCCUAAUAUUUUCUUGGAAUGACAGUGGACUUAGAAUAGCUAAAAUGAUUUUGUAAAAGAAGAAUAAAACAGAGAGAUUAACAUAAUAGAAUGUAAUUAAUCUAAAAUAGAAUGUAAUUACUGUAAAAGAAAGAGAUAAUAGCUUAUUAAACAAUGUGGAACAACUGGACAGUCAUAGAGGAAAAAUGAAUGGAUGAAAUCUCAAACCUUAUACAAAAAGUAACUAAAAUGAAUCACUUUUAGAAAACUAAAAAAGACAACCCAGAAAACUCUAAAUUUUUAGAUAAAAAUAGAAGAAAAAUUCAGGAAUUAAGAGUGGGCAAAUAAUUUAAGAAUACAAUACCAAGAGCAUAAUCCACAAAAGGAAUCCUUUAUAAAAAUUAGAAAUUAUUAAAAUUAAAAACUUUUCUCCAAAAAUGACCCAGUCAAGAGAAUAAACAGACUAGCCACAGACUGGGAGAACAUAUCUACAAAACAUAUAUCCUACAAAAGCUUUGUAUCUGGAAAAUAUAAAGAACUCUCAGCGUUCAACAGUAAAAACAACAAUAAAAAUUUAAAAAAAAAUCCAAGUAGAAAAUGAGCAAAAGACAUGAAAAUAUAUGUCACAUAAGAGGACCCAGGGACGGACAAUAAGGAUACAGAUAUGUCCAAAAUCCUUAGCCUUUAGGGAAAUGCAAAUUAAAACCACAAUUAGAUAUCACUAUUCUGUCAGAAUGAUUAAAAUACACAACACUGACAAUACCAUAUGCUGACACGAAUUGAGAGAAAACAAUUACUCAUACAUUGCAGGUGGGAAUCUAGCAUGAUACCACCAAGCUGAAAAGAUUACAGCAGCCUUUUUAUAAAACUAAAUAUUUACUUAGCACAUAACCCAGCAAUUGCACUUUGGGGCAUUUAUUCCAGAUAAAUGAAAAAAUUAUAUUCACACACACAAUCUAAACCAAAACAAACAAAAAAAAUAAAGAAAAAAUUCUUACCAAACCGCAUUUCUUUCAUCUCAUACAGCAAGUAAAAUGUUCAGAAGCUGAGGUUUGCAGCAGGGAAAAAUGAUUCCAAUGCAGCCAGGUCAAAAAGAAGAGUAAGCCCUAGAAUCUCUAUCCCAUGGGCAAGGGCCGUGGGAGGGUCUGUGGAAUAAAGAAUAAAGAAGCAGGCUGGUCUGAGGCACGGGGAGCAUGGAGAGGAUGGAAAAAUGUGAUUGAAAAAAGGUGGUAAUUGCGGUUCUAUGCAGGCAUAAUUAAGCUACAAGUCUCUCCACAUUUAAAAAUGGAGGCACUUACCAUGAUCUGAGGGUGGAGUUUGAGGCCUUCUGAGGUCAAGUUCACUCAGCAUUUGUGCAUGCCAAAUAAGAGGGUCUGUGGUCCUAUCCGGUCUUAACCAGCUUAACUCUAAUGAGACACAGCUGACCCCAAGUUCUGAAAAACAGCUCAGGCAAACAUCUUACUGUAAGGCUAUGAGCUCCUCAGAAGACAGUCAGGUCUUAAAACAACCUUGAUU